rnacentral:rRNA from 1 species
GAUGAACGCUGGCGGCGUGCCUAAUACAUGCAAGUCGAGCGAACAGAUAAGGAGCUUGCUCCUUUGACGUUAGCGGCGGACGGGUGAGUAACACGUGGGUAACCUACCUAUAAGACUGGGAUAACUUCGGGAAACCGGAGCUAAUACCGGAUAACAUUUGGAACCGCAUGGUUCUAAAGUGAAAGAUGGUUUUGCUAUCACUUAUAGAUGGACCCGCGCCGUAUUAGCUAGUUGGUAAGGUAACGGCUUACCAAGGCGACGAUACGUAGCCGACCUGAGAGGGUGAUCGGCCACACUGGAACUGAGACACGGUCCAGACUCCUACGGGAGGCAGCAGUAGGGAAUCUUCCGCAAUGGGCGAAAGCCUGACGGAGCAACACCGCGUGAGUGAUGAAGGGUUUCGGCUCGUAAAACUCUGUUAUUAGGGAAGAACAAACGUGUAAGUAACUGUGCACGUCUUGACGGUACCUAAUCAGAAAGCCACGGCUAACUACGUG